rnacentral:rRNA from 1 species
UACGGAGGGUGCAAGCGUUGUCCGGAUUUAUUGGGUUUAAAGGGUGCGUAGGCGGUUUGUUAAGUCCGGGGUGAAAGCCCACUGCUCAACAGUGGAACUGCCCUGGAAACUGGCGGACUUGAGUACAGACGAGGGUGGCGGAAUGGAUGGUGUAGCGGUGAAAUGCAUAGAUACCAUCCAGAACCCCGAUUGCGAAGGCAGCUGCCUAGACUGUAACUGACGCUGAGGCACGAAAGCGUGGGGAGCGAACAGG